GACGAACGCUGGCGGCGUGCCUAAUACAUGCAAGUAGAACGCUGAAGGAGGAGCUUGCUUCUCUGGAUGAGUUGCGAACGGGUGAGUAACGCGUAGGUAACCUGCCUUGUAGCGGGGGAUAACUAUUGGAAACGAUAGCUAAUACCGCAUAAGAGUAGAUGUUGCAUGACAUUUACUUAAAAGGUGCAAUUGCAUCACUACCAGAUGGACCUGCGUUGUAUUAGCUAGUUGGUGAGGUAACGGCUCACCAAGGCAACGAUACAUAGCCGACCUGAGAGGGUGAUCGGCCACACUGGGACUGAGACACGGCCCAGACUCCUACGGGAGGCAGCAGUAGGGAAUCUUCGGCAAUGGACGGAAGUCUGACCGAGCAACGCCGCGUGAGUGAAGAAGGUUUUCGGAUCGUAAAGCUCUGUUGUAAGAGAAGAACGAGUGUGAGAGUGGAAAGUUCACACUGUGACGGUAUCUUACCAGAAAGGGACGGCUAACUACGUG
rnacentral:rRNA from 1 species